ACCAGACUCACCCCCGCGUAACUGAACUCUCGCACGCCUCCCCAGUCUCUUUCCCCACCCACAGACUACCGCCCAACUCCCGCCCCACCUUCUUCCCCGUCGGCGGCCCAACUCCCGCCCCACCUUCUUCCCCGUCGGCGGGCGGCGGCCGAACUCCCGCCUCACCUUCUUCCCCGUCGGCGGCCCAACUCCACCGCAGCCCCACGCCUCUACCAGCCUCAGGUUCCCCACCAUCCUCGCUGCUGGUUCCAGCCCCAAUCUGGAUCGAUUGGCAACCCUGCGCGUCGCCCCUGCCGGCCAGCUCCCUACCACGGCCAACCACCUAGCACACGACCCCUGCCUCGGUCGACCACGCCGCGUACCACCCCUUCUGGCGAGAUCUCUUCCCUGGCUAGCCACCCCCUUCUCCACCCCUCCUUCUCCCAUUUUCUGACCCGUAAGGAGGACGCCAUGGCCGCCAAUUUGAGCUCCAUGGCCGGCGGCGGUUCACAGGCCCAACCGAAGGCCCUAGAUCUUCUCUGAAUUUUCGUUGCUACACCGCCGCUGGAACCUGACUGGACCACUGUUGCUCCCAGCAUGAUGCGUGCUGAUGCAUAAGAAUGCAGCUGACGCGGGUACUGAACCUGUACGAGGGUGCUUCUGAACUGCAUAUAGUUUGGCAGUCCACAUGCAGGAAAACAUGAAGUGAAUUGGUCAGUAUGAAGAAUUUCAGAGAUGAAAGAACUUUAAGUGUGCAGAAUGCCUUCGGUAAAGGUGGUCACUACUGCUGUUUCAUAGACACCAGCAGGCCCUCGUCCACAUAAGCAUAAAAAAGUGAAGUUCACUUUUAUAAAAAAUGCAAGUUAGCUUUUAUUUAAAAUGAAAGUUCGCCACAUAAGCAGAAAAAUGUGAAGUCCACUUUUAUUUAAAAUGCAAGUACGCUUUUAUUUAAAAUGCAAGCUCGCUUGUACACAUAAGCAUAAUAAAGUGAAGUUCACUUUUAUUGAAAAUGCAAGUUCGCUUUUAUUUAAAAUGCAAGCUUGCUUGUCCACAUAAGAACAAAAAUGUGAAGUUCUCUUUUAUUUAAAAUUCAAGUACGUUUUUAUUUAAAAUGCACGCUCGCUUGUCCACAUAAGCACAAAAAUGUGAAGUUCGCUUUUAUUUAAAAUGCAAGUUCGCUUGUCCAGAUAUGCACAAAAAGGUGAAGUUCGCUUUUAUUUAAAAUGCAAGUUCGCUUGUCCACAUAAACACAAAAACGUGAAGUUCGCUUUUAUUUAAAAUGCAAGUUCGCUUGUCCACAUAAGCGCAAAAAUGUGAAGUCCACUGUAUUUAAAAUGCAAGUUCGCUUGUCCACACAAGCACAAAAAUGUGAAGUUAGCUUUUAUUUAAAAUGCAAGUUCGCUUUUACUUAAAAUGCAAUUUUGCUUGUCCACAUAAGCACAAAAAUGUGAAGUUUGCUUUUAUUUAAAAUGCAACUCCUUGCAUCUGUGAAGUGCAGGCGUAUAUUGUCCUCACUGCUGUUUUUUGCUGAAAUAGUGUUCUCUGUCUCUCUUUUUUCUGUAUUUGUUCUCUCAUUUUUAUGGAAAAAAUGAAUAAAGGUUGGGAAUAAUAUGGUACAAGUAUGUGCUGGUGUCGUGUCUGACUAUAAAAGGAAGUAGAGGUUCCUUUUGUUUACAAAAGCCGGUUAUUUUAACUUGCUUUUGCUGUUCCUUUUCAGGUAUUUAUCCAUGGUAAGAAGGAUGGCAUGAUCCCUCCAGGCACAACAAACCAUGUGCAUAUACGCAGUGCAGGCAUAUGCAUAUCAGGGACAUGAGAUGGAUGUUCAGAUGCGAGUAAUCAAGCAGUCAUGCUGUCCUCUCUUGUGAUCCCUCCAACGAGCUCCAUUGGGAAGUCCACUACGCGUCUCACUCUGGUGUCCACCGUGCUCCGUCAGGAACUCCACUACAACUUCACCUCACGCGAUUCAGUACUCAGCCACGACGACAACCGGACUUAACUACCAUAACAGUGCCCACAAGCAGCAUGGCAACAAGCUGGGUGUUCUUGCGGCUGCCUCCCGCUGUUGUUAUUACAAGUGCAAUUCAAUUCAGGCUCUUCAUUUCAUUUGGAUGAAGCAACCGAACACAAGUGCACAACCGGAAUAAAGAUGUGGAGAUGAAGAACUCAUUUUUUCUAAUCCAUGGAGUUCAUUUCUCCUAAAUUUUGUAGUUCACAUCUCCUGCUAAUUGGAGCUAGGUACUUGAGAAGUGUCCACUCGCAUCAUCCGAGCAUUACAUGCAUAUACAGCAAGGCCUACCUAAGCACCGCCAUCUCGACAAGGCGAUGCUGCAGAGGACAAGGACAUAAACGUGGUGCCAGCCCCGCCCUUCUUCCGGCUAGUGGACGUGGCUUGGCGGUCCCUCGGUGUCCAUGGCGUAGUCAAGCCCGACUGUCAUGCGGCGGGCGAGUCCGCUCCAGGAGAAUCACCAGGACGGACACAUUGUUGGCUGAGUGAAGUUUACUGAUACUAAUUCGUGGAGUUAACUUGUCCUAAUCGUGAAGUUCACGUCUCCUAAUACUUCAUUGUAGACUAUUUCUGCUAGAUGGAUUUUUUACUAGUUAGCAGCAUAAACACACAACUAAUUCAGUGUGUUAGUUAAAUGUCCUCUAAGUGCUUCUUUUAAUGCCUGCCUUAGUGUGGUCUGCUAGAUGCAUUACAAUGUUGUUUACGUGAUGCUAACUAGAAAAAACAUGUUCAUUCCAUUUGUAUGACAAGUUCACUUUUUUUUAU